UCUUCACCAGACUGCACGAGGCCACGAGGCCUUCCCUCUUUGCCGCUGCCGCCGCCUCCUCCUCCUCUUUUCCCUCGUUCUCCAGCCGCCGCCGCCGCCCCUGAUCCUUCCUCCUCGGCUCUACCAACCCAAUCCUCUGUCCUCUCUCCACUCCUCCUCCUCUCAUAGGCCCUGCCGCCGCACACCGCUGCUCCCCCGUUGGCGGUGAAGGCCCUGCAGAUCCAGCCGGGUUGGUCGCCGCCGUGCGCCCGCUCCGUCGUCAUGGGUUGUCCCGUGCUCCCCUCCUCUACACGUCAUCGCCUGAAGGUCACCGUUGCCGCCGCUGAUUUACUCCCCCAUUCUCCUCCACCAUCGCUGUCCAUGUGUGUCCGUCUCCAGGGAUCCAACUAUGGCCGCCUCUUUGUUUGCUUCCUUUUCUGAUCAUCUCGUCCACAACGCAGCGGUGGCCGCGGUGCGGACAAUCGACGGAAAGUGGGUAGGAAAGGCCCGACAGUGGAGCCACGCGGAAUGAGGCAACAGCGGCACAGGAGCUUCCCGGCGCAGGUCAUCUUCCUCUCAUUUGUCCUCCCCCAUUCCCCUCCUAGAUACUCAUUGAUUAAGAGGUACAAGUGGGUGGCCAGCUGCAAUUUCUAGAUGGAAGACAUCUGGUUAAGAUUUACUUUGGGUUCUUGAUUCCAUUUUCUCAAUGGUUAUUACUUAUAUGUAAUUAGUACGUAAAAUAACAAUUUUUGUAUACCAUGUUUGUGGCUGAAUGCAUUGAGUUGCUGGAAUUGUUUUAUUAGAUCACAGGCAUUAUUCAGUGCACUCUUGAUUGUCUUACCAAUGGUCCAAAUAAAUGCACAACCGGUGAAAUUGACUGUGGUUUUGAUUUACUUUUCUUACAAUAGAGUAAAUUUCAUUAUUUUUCAGUUUGGACAUACUUCUAUCGGUUUGCUUCUAAUUGCAGCUUAAUCUGUAAUUUGUAGGCUUUGCACUACAGAGCAGUUGGUGGUAGGAAGGACAGAGGACGCGAAGAACUCAUGGUUAGGUGUACGGCGAGGGGAGGAGGAGGAAGCACUUCUCUGACAAGAUCCAUAGCCACCACUUCAUCAUCGGCGGCAACCCUCUGUAUUUCCAAUGUGUAGUAAUGUUAUUCCGGACGCAUGCGAUUUACAAAAUAAAAGGAGUAGCAAAUAUCAUAUACCUGGUUAAGGGACUGGCUGGUUUCUGAUCCACUGCAAAUUGAGCUUUCUUUUGUGAAGGAAUAUUACACUAAAAAAGUUGUCAUCAGUAUAUAUCUCAAGAUGAAUUGUGUCACGGGAGCCGAUACGGUGGCAGACACAAGCAGAGCAAAGCGAAGCCGGCGCGACGGCCGGGCCCUCCAAGCACACAACCACUGCCUCCUCGCCAAAAUACGCUAGCCUGCAUCUACAAGGAAAAAAAGGAACUUGCCCGUAUGGUGUUCACUAAAAAGAAGAAUCUGCUAAAAGGUUGGAUGUGGGCUGUACGUGGACAUGACCUUGUUCCUGGGAUUCAGAAAGGAGCACGUGCCAUGGAACUUCAAGAAGACGGAGAACCAUGUGUACCUCCAUGUCGUGCUUUGGCAGAAGCUGGAUGCCGACGAGUCAGAACCUGCUGAAGAAGCCACUCUGCUCACCAUUGGCGCUUUCCGUGGGAAGUGAUAGCAAUGGAAGCGGAGUUGUAGCUCUUCUGAAAAUUGCAAGGAUCUUUUCACACAUCUAUACAAGCCCUAAGACCAGAAGCAAGUUUAAUCUUCUCUUUGGAUUAACAUCUGGCGGACCCUACAAUUAAAAUGGAACUAGCAAGGUUAUCAAUUUUUGUUACAGUGGCUUGAAAUUUUGACCAACAUGUGUGUGAUAUUAUUGACUAUGCAAUUUACUUGAAUAUCAUUGGUUCCUGGAGCAAUGAUCUCUGGAUGCAUGUAUCAAAGCCUCCAGAGAAGCCUUACAUCAAGCAAAUCUUUGAGGUACAGUAGCCGUUUCAAUUUUUUGGUUCAUAACUUUGAUUACCUGCAAUUAUAAAGUCUUCUAUAACUUGAAGUGUGUUUCCUUCAGAAUUUUUCGCAUGUCUCCAAGGAAAUGGGCAUUUCAGUCGCACAGAACAUUAAUGUGUCAAAUUCUAGAGUGUGUUCUUGCCUUUUGAAGGAUUGUAUACCAUCAUUAGGUUUGAAUCCGAUUAGGAUUUCAGAUAAUCUGUCUUACAUGGACCUACUGUCAGUAGUAGCACAAUGGCAUUAUCAUAUCAUGUGCUGCCCAGCGUGACAAACUAGCGGAGCGGUUCCCAGCCGAGCACGAAAAAUAAUAAACUUACACCAAUCUUCGGUUUUCAUGCUACAGAAUUUGUGUGCUCAUAUAGUUGUAUCUAUGAAAUCGCAGACUACAUGCUGAACAAGUUUCAGAUUGAGGAGAGCCUGGUCCCAAGAUGUGCCUAAAUUUGUACAGGGAAUAAGGAACUACAAUGGCCGGUCUGAAGCUUAUGGGCUACGAUUUCGACUACGAGGAUUCCACGCCAGCGUGCACGGUAAAUUGCCAUAUGAGAAAUUGAAGCCGGACCCUGUCCUGAGGAACCUACUGCUUUCGAUGCCUCAAAAUCCCUCUGAUGUUUUUUGCUAAUCGCAUCAGCAAGGGGUCUGUGACAGUUAAAUGCUUCAGCAGUUACAGUUUGUUGUUGCACUGUAGAUAUUCACCAACUCUGACGAGGCUCACGCGGCCGCCCUCCUCUUGGUUAACUCUGACAUUCAUUGUGCCAUUUAUAUCAAAAUAUUGCAUGAGUUUUUGUUGGUUGUUCAGGACUAAGCUUAUCUUGGUUAAUGUCAAUUUUAAUUGUACUCUGGCUCAAGUGAUUUUUUGAUAUGGUAACUAAUUUCUGGUUCUUUUUGCUAAAUUCUAAUUUAAAAACAAAGCAGUAAGAAAUCAUGCAUGAUGUUUCAAGUAAAAAAAUAAAUAAAUGCAGCCUCGAGUGCUGAUCUAUGAAAUAGAUACCAUCAGGAAGGUCGUGCCUUCAAUUCAUCAUGUUCUUUGCAUGCCUAAUUUUCCUCUCAUCCUCUUUUGUUGUAUUCACAGUGUUUUUUUUCUGGACAAUGGUUCUGCAUCUUUGCAGGAGGAUUAUCAGGCCUGAGUGACAUUUGUGGGAAAAAAAUCGUUCAAAGCUAGGUGUUCAUUGCUGUUAUUGUUCCUAAUUUGAAGGGGACUGAGAUUUCUACCUAGGAAAUUCAAGUUGUGUUACCUUCAAAUGAUCGGACAUCUGAAAUAAAUUAUAUGUAGGCAAUACUGAUGAAGCCCAGUCGUAUGAGCUGAGGGCUCAGACCGUCUCGCCGCGUUGGAUCUGAUCUUAUAUGCAAAGCUAUUGAGCAGAUGCUGAUCAUUUAAUGUUGUGACAGUAAUAAGAGUUGUCCGUAUUUCUUCUUUCAUGUACUAUAAAUACAAGAGACAUAUGUGCUACACUACUUUUGGACAAACUGUAAUGGGUUGUCCUCGUUACA